rfam:Biomphalaria glabrata isolate BB02 unplaced genomic scaffold LGTN_random_Scaffold2046, whole genome shotgun sequence.
UGGCUGAGCGGUAAAGCGCUUGGUUUCUGAACUGGGGGUCCCGGGUUCGAAUCCUGG